rnacentral:misc_RNA from 1 species
GAUGAAGAACGUAGCGAAAUGCGAAAAGUAGUGUGAAUUGCAGAAUUCAGUGAAUCAUCGAAUCUUUGAACGCACAUUGCGCCCCUUGGUAUUCCAUGGGGCAUGCCUGUUCGAGCGCCAUUUUGUACCCUCAAGCACUGCUUGGUGUUGGGCGUUUGUCCUGCAGAGGACUCGCCUGAAAGCGAUUGGCGGCCAACGUAGUCGUGGCAGAGCGCAGCACAAUCUCGCGUCUCUCCCCUCUGCGUCGGCGUCCAUGAAGCCCACAAUCUCAACGUUUGACCUCGGAUCAGGUAGGGAUACCCGCUGAACUUAAGCAUAUCAAUAAGCGGAGGA